UCCCUAGUGGCUCAGACAGUAAAGAAUCUGCCUGCAAUGCAGCAGACCCAGGUUCAAUCCCUGGGUUAGGAA
rnacentral:tRNA from 1 species